rnacentral:rRNA from 1 species
AGUGAACGCUGGCGGUAGGCCUAACACAUGCAAGUCGAACGGCAGCACAGGAGAGCUUGCUCUCUGGGUGGCGAGUGGCGGACGGGUGAGGAAUACAUCGGAAUCUACUUUUUCGCGGGGGAUAACGUAGGGAAACUUACGCUAAUACCGCAUACGACCUACGGGUGAAAGCAGGGGACCUUCGGGCCUUGCGCGAUUGAAUGAGCCGAUGUCGGAUUAGCGAGUUGGCGGGGUAAAGGGCCACCAAGGCGACGAUCCGUAGCUGGGCUGAGAGGAUGAUCAGCCACACUGGAACUGAGACACGGUCCAGACUCCUACGGGAGGCAGCAGUGGGGAAUAUUGGACAAUGGGCGCAAGCCUGAUCCAGCCAUACCGCGUGGGUGAAGAAGGCCUUCGGGUUGUAAAGCCCUUUUGUUGGGAAAGAAAUCCAGCUGGCUAAUACCCGGUUGGGAUGACGGUACCCAAAGAAUAAGCACCGGCUAACUUCGUGCCAGCAGCCGCCGUAA